GACGGAAGGUGCAAGCGUUAUCCGGAUUCACUGGGUUUAAAGGGUGCGUAGGAGGGCAGGUAAGUCAGUGGUGAAAUCUCCAAGCUUAACUUGGAAACUGCCGUUGAUACUAUCUGUCUUGAAUAUUGUGGAGGUGAGCGGAAUAUGUCAUGUAGCGGUGAAAUGCUUAGAUAUGACAUAGAACACCAAUUGCGAAGGCAGCUCACUACACAAUCAUUGACUCUGAGGCACGAAAGCGUGGGGAUCAAACAGG
rnacentral:rRNA from 1 species